AAUGAACGCUGGCGGCGCGCCUAAUACAUGCAAGUCGAGCGAGAAGACGUAGCAAUACGUUUGUAAAGCGGCGAACGGGUGAGGAAUACAUGGGUAACCUACCCUCGAGUGGGGAAUAACUAGCCGAAAGGUUAGCUAAUACCGCGUACGCUCCUUGGACCUCGGUUCAGGGAGGAAAGCGAUACCGUGGGUAUCGCGCUCUUGGUUGGGCUCAUGUCCUAUCAGCUUGUUGGUGAGGUAACGGCUCACCAAGGCUUCGACGGGUAGCUGGUCUGAGAGGACGAUCAGCCACACUGGCACUGCGACACGGGCCAGACUCCUACGGGAGGCAGCAGUAAGGAAUAUUGCGCAAUGGGCGAAAGCCUGACGCAGCGACGCCGCGUGGGGGAUGAAGGUC
rnacentral:rRNA from 1 species